rnacentral:rRNA from 1 species
AGAGUUGAUCCUGGCUUAGGAUGAACGCUAGCGGCAGGCUUAACACAUGCAAGUCGAGGGGCAUCGGGAGUAGCAAUACUGCCGGCGACCGGCGCAAGGGUGCGUAACGCGUGAGCAACAUGCCCGUAUCAGGGGGAUAAUCCAUGGAAACGUGGUCUAAUACCCCAUAGUAAUUAUGUAAGGCAUCUUAUAUAAUUUAAAGCUUUGGUGGAUACGGAUUGGCUCGCGUGACAUUAGCUGGAUGGUAAGGUAACGGCUUACCAUGGCUACGAUGUCUAGGGGUUCUGAGAGGAAGGUCCCCCACACUGGAACUGAGACACGGUCCAGACUCCUACGGGAGGCAGCAGUGAGGAAUAUUGGACAAUGGAUGGAAAUCUGAUCCAGCCAUGCCGCGUGCAGGAAGACGGCCCUAUGGGUUGUAAACUGUCUUUUGUAUGGGAGCAAUAAGGGCUACGUGUAGUCCGAUGAGAGUACCAUACGAAUAAGCACCGGCUAACUCCGUGCCAGCCGCGGC